AUUGAACGCUGGCGGCAGGCCUAACACAUGCAAGUCGAGCGGAGCGGCGGACGGGUGAGUAAUGCCUAGGAAUCUGACUGGUUGUGGCGGAUAACAUCCUGAACCGGGCGCUAAUCCCGCAUUCUAUCAGAUUAGCCAAGGUUGGAUUAGGUAGUUGUGGGGGUAAAGGCCUACCAAGUCGACGAUCCGUCACUGGUCUGAGAGGAUGAUCAGUCACACGGGAACUGAGACACGGUCCAGACUCCUACGGGAGGCAGCAGGGGGGAAUAUUGGACAAUGGGCGAAAGCCUGAUCCAGCCAUGCCGCGUGUGUGAAGAAGGUCUUCGGAUUGUAAAGCACUUUAAGUUGGGAGGCGUUACCAACAGAAUAAGCAACGGCUAACUUCGUGCCAGCAGCCGCGGUAAUAC
rnacentral:rRNA from 1 species